GACGAACGCUGGCGGCGUGCUUAACACAUGCAAGUCGAGCGGUAAGGCCCUUUCGGGGGUACACGAGCGGCGAACGGGUGAGUAACACGUGGGUGACCUGCCCUCAGCUCUGGGAUAAGCCUGGGAAACCGGGUCUAAUACUGGAUAUGACUCCAUGACGCAUGUUGUGGGGUGGAAAGCCUUGUGCGGCUGAGGAUGGGCCCGCGGCCUAUCAGCUUGUUGGUGGGGUGAGGCCUACCAAGGCGACGACGGGUAGCCGGCCUGAGAGGGCGACCGGCCACACUGGGACUGAGACACGGCCCAGACUCCUACGGGAGGCAGCAGUGGGGAAGUCUUGCGCAAUGGGCGAAAGCCUGACGCAGCGACGCCGCGUGAGGGAUGACGGCCUCGGUUGUAACGUACUUCUA
rnacentral:rRNA from 1 species